rnacentral:rRNA from 1 species
UACGUAGGGGCCGAGCGUUGUCCGGAUUCAUUGGGCGUAAAGGGUGCGUAGGUGGCGCUGUAAGUCAGGUGUGAAAUUUCGGAGCUUAACUCCGAAACUGCAUUUGAUACUGCGGUGCUCGAGGACUGGAGAGGAGACUGGAAUUUACGGUGUAGCAGUGAAAUGCGUAGAUAUCUGGAGGAACACCGGUGGCGAAGGCGGCAUCCUGGACCAAUACUGACACUGAGGAGCGAAAGCCAGGGGAGCAAACGGG